rnacentral:rRNA from 1 species
ACCCAGACUCCUACGGGAGGCAGCAGUGGGGGAUAUUGCACAAUGGGGGAAACCCUGAUGCAGCGACGCCGCGUGAGUGAAGAAGUAAUUCGUUACGUAAAGCUCUAUCAGCAGGGAAGAAAAUGACGGUACCUGAAGAAGAAGCCCCGGCUAACUACGUGCCAGCAGCCGCGGUAAUACGUAGGGGGCAAGCGUUAUCCGGAUUUACUGGGUGUAAAGGGGGCGCAGACGGCGAUGCAAGCCAGGAGUGAAAGCCCGGGGCCCAACCCCGGGACUGCUCUUGGAACUGCGGCGCUGGAGUACGGGAGGGGCAGGCGGAAUUCCUGGUGUAGCGGUGAAAUGCGUAGAUAUCAGGAGGAACACCGGCGGCGAAGGCGGCCUGCUGGACCGUGACUGACGUUGAGGCUCGAGAGCGUGGGGAGCAAACAGGAUUAGAUACCCCGGUAA